GCCCCCAUCGUCUAGUGGCCUAGGACACCGCCCUUUCACGGCGGCGACGGGGAUUCGAAUUCCCCUGGGGGUACCA
rnacentral:tRNA from 2 species